rnacentral:rRNA from 1 species
GUGCAGGCAGGCGAGAAUACUUUACAAUGUGCGAAAGCACGAUAAGGGAACUCUGAGUGCCUCCUAAGGAGGCUGUUCAGGUGUCUAAAAGCACCUGAAGGAAGGGCUGGGUAAGACCGGUGCCAGCCGCCGCGGUAACACCGGCAGCCCAAGUGGUAGCCACGUUUAUUGGGUCUAAAGCGUCCGUAGCCGGCUGGGUAAGUUCCUUGGGAAAUUUGGCUGCUUAACAGUCAAGCUUUCAGGGAAUACUGCCCGGCUUGGGACCGGGAGAGGUCAGAGGUACUCCAGGGGUAGGGGUGAAAUCCAUUAAUCCUUGGGGGACCACCGGUAGCGAAGGCGUCUGACCAGACCGGGUCCGACGGUGAGGGACGAAGGCUAGGGGCGCGAACCGGAUUAGAUACCCCCGUAGU